GCCUAGAAUGUUGUUUUUGCUUCAAACAUUGCAAAUUUUGGACAAAAUGGAUUGCUUCAAGAAGUGGCAGAGAGCUAUCUCUAGAUUUGUCUGGCAGGGCAAGAAGCCCAGAAUAAAAUUUAAAAUAUUAACGGAUGCAAAGGAAAGAGGUGGAUUUGCCCUGCCAGACCUUAAACUUUAUUAUGAAUCAGCAGCUUUUUGCUGGCUGAAAGAAUGGCUGCUUCUUGAAAACACAGACAUUUUGGACUUAGAAGGUUUCAAUAAUGUAUUUGGAUGGCAUGCAUAUUUUUGGUAUGACAAGGUCAAAGCACAUAAAGCAUUUAAGAAUCAUAUUGUCAGGAAAGCAUUGUUUAAUGUCUGGAUAAGAUAUAAGGAUUUAUUGGAAAAUAAAACCCCAAGGUGGUUGUCACUGAUGGACGCGAAAGCAUAGAAAAAGCUCAAUAUGGAGGCCAAAUGGCCGAAAUAUUGGGAAAUUCUGGAACAAGAGGGAGAUAGAUUGAAACUGCAGAGUUUUGAGAAACUAAAAAACAAAGUGCGAGAUUGGCUUCAUUAUUAUCAGAUAAUGGAGGCAUAUAAUUCAGACAAGAAAAUUGGCUUCCAGGUGGAAAAAUCAAAAUUAGAAACAGAACUGUUAGAACCCAAAACUAAGACUUUGUCAAAGAUGUAUAACUUGCUGUUGAAAUGGAAUACUCAGGAUGAAACGGUGAAAUCUGCUAUGAUUAAAUGGGCACAAGAUGUUGGACAUAACAUAAUGAUGGCUGACUGGGAACAGUUAUGGACCACAGGUAUGAAGUUUACGGCAUGCAAUGCCUUAAGAGAGAAUAUUAUGAAAAUGAUAUACAGGUGGUACAUGACCCCAGUCAAGCUUGCAAAAAUUUAUCAUUUGCCCGAUAAUAAAUGUUGGAAAUGUAAAGAAACUGAAGGUACAUUCUUUCACCUUUGGUGGACGUGCCCAAGGAUUAAGGCUUUCUGGGAGAUGAUCUAUAAUGAAUUGAAAAAGGUAUUUAAAUAUACCUUCUUGAAGAAACCAGAGGCCUUUCUCCUGGGCAUAGUCGGCCAAUUGGUGUUAAAGAAGGAUAGAACUUUCUUUAUGUAUGCCACAACAGCAGCAAGAAUACUUAUUACAAAGUAUUGGAAGACACAAGAUCUACCCACUCUGGAAGAAUGGCAGAUGAAGGUGAUGGACUACAUGGAAUUGGCGGAAAUGACUGGCAGAAUCCGAGACCAGGGAGAAGAGUCGGUGGAAGAAGAUUGGAAGAAAUUUAAAGACUAUUUACAGAAAUAUUGUAAAAUUAAUGAAUGUUAGAAUGAUGUCAGAAUGAAGUUAAGUGGUUUUAGCAGCAAUGUCAUAAAGGUGUAUGUAAAAAUGGAUUGUUAAUAGGUGAGAAUCUAAAGCUAUAAUAUAUUAAGUUAAAGGACUAAGACAAAAACAAAGAGGGAAAGGAAUUGCUGAAUUAACCAAUUGAACUGGAAUACAAAAAAGGGAGGUGAGAGGAGGUCAGGGAAGCAAGGAAAUGAAAUGUAAGAUAUGGAAGGAUUAAUAUGUUUUUAAGUGUUUUUUUAUUUUUUUUCUGUACUUUGUAUUUUGUAUGUUUUUUCUCUUUUUUUAUAUUUUCCCUUGUUUCUUUUCUCUUUAACUAUGUAAUUUUGUGUUUCUGAAAUUUUAAUAAAUAUCAUU